UACGAGUGGUCCAAGCAUUAUCCGGUUUUAUUGGGCGUAAAGGGUCCGCAGGCGGUCUUAUUUGUCUUAUGUUAAAUCCUGGUGCUCAACAUCAGGACUGCGUAGGAAACGGUAGGACUAGAGACUGGGAGAGGUAAGCGGAAUUGCCGGUGUAGCAGUAAAAUGCGUUAAUAUCGGCAGGAACACCAAAGGCGAAGGCAGCUUACUAGAACAGUUCUGACGCUCAGGGACGAAAGCGUGGGGAGCGAAAGGG
rnacentral:rRNA from 1 species